rnacentral:lncRNA from 1 species
CAGCCCCAUAGUGUGCAGGGCCUAUGUGGAACAGGGCUUUGACUAGUGGUUUCUAUCCUCCUAGGGAGAAGAUGGGACUCCAGGAGAAGAUGGGAGGAAGGGGGACAAAGGAGAAGCUGGAGCCCCUGGCAGAGACGGUCAAGAAGGCCCCAAGGGCGAGCGAGGAGACCGUGGGGUGCCAGGCCCCUUGGGAUCUCCUGGUGUCCCCGGUGUACCUGGGCAGGUUGGACCCCCAGGCCAGGGUGCUCCAGGCCUUGCUGGGGCUGCCGGACAAAAGGGUGACCGAGGAGAGGCUGGACCCAAAGGAGAACAGGU